GUGGCCCCUGAACUAAAAUGAGUUUGACACCCCUGGUUUAGAUGUCUACUAAGAUGCCACAAUCUAUUACACUUCAUGAGCAAAACAGGCUACAGUUAAAAUUAAACAACUUAAGUUGAGCCACUCAGGCAAGUUAAACUGAUAA